ACGGGUGAGUAAUGCCUAGGAAAUUGCCCUGAUGUGGGGGAUAACCAUUGGAAACGAUGGCUAAUACCGCAUGAUGCCUACGGGCCAAAGAGGGGGACCUUCGGGCCUCUCGCGUCAGGAUAUGCCUAGGUGGGAUUAGCUAGUUGGUGAGGUAAUGGCUCACCAAGGCGACGAUCCCUAGCUGGUCUGAGAGGAUGAUCAGCCACACUGGAACUGAGACACGGUCCAGACUCCUACGGGAGGCAGCAGUGGGGAAUAUUGCACAAUGGGCGCAAGCCUGAUGCAGCCAUGCCGCGUGUGUGAAGAAGGCCUUCGGGUUGUAAAGCACUUUCAGUCGUGAGGAAGGNGGUGUAGUUAAUAGCUGCNNNANNUGACGUUAGCGACNGAAGAAGCACCGGCUAACUCCGUGCCAGCAGCCGCGGUAAUACGGAGGGNGCGAGCGUUAAUCGGAAUUACUGGGCGUAAAGCGCAUGCAGGUGGUUUGUUAANUC
rnacentral:rRNA from 1 species